GAUGAAGAACGCAGCGAAAUGCGAUACUUGGUGUGAAUUGCAGAAUCCCGUGAACCAUCGAGUCUUUGAACGCAAGUUGCACCCGAAGCCAUUAGGCCGAGGGCACGCCUGCCUGGGCGUCACACGUCGUUGCCCCCCCAUCUACUCCUUCGGGAUUGCGGGGGGCGGAUGAUGGCCUCCCGUGCGCCUCGCCGCGCGGUUGGCAUAAAUGCCAAGUCCUCGGCGACGCACGCCACGACAAUCGGUGGUUGCGAAACCUCGGUUGCCCGUCGUGUGCGGUCGUCGCGCAUCGAGGGCUCGAAAAAAUUGCCGGGUUCCGGCUCGGCUUUCAACGCGACCCCAGGUCAGGCGGGGUUACCCGCUGAAUUUAAGCAUAUCAAUAAGCGGAGGA
rnacentral:misc_RNA from 1 species